UCAGGUGGUGAUAGCUUAGAGGAUCCACCUGUUCCCAUUCCGAACACAGAAGUUAAGCCCUAAUACGCCUGAUGUACUGCACUGGUGAUGGUGUGGGAGAUACGGUAGCUGCCGGAU
rnacentral:rRNA from 1 species